rnacentral:rRNA from 1 species
GACGAACGCUGGCGGUGUGCUUCACACAUGCAAGUCGAACGAGUGACUGCCUUGUAGCAAUACAAAGUAGAAGCUAGUGGCGGACGGGUGAGUAACGCGUAGGAAUCUGCCUUUGAGUGGGGGAUAGCAGACCGAAAGGUCUAUUAAUACCGCAUGCGUAUAUACUUCGACAGUUGUAUAUAUAAAAAGAGCAAUCUGCUCAUAGAUGAGCCUGCGUCCGAUUAGCUAGUUGGUAGUGUAAUAGACUACCAAGGCGACGAUCGGUAGGUGGUCC